UUUACUUUUAUACGAUCAAUACUUUCCCAUUCCUAAACUAGGUACACGCUUCCAAUUAUAUGAUUUAUACGAUUUCCAAAUGUUUCUAAUCUUCUGAUCCCCUCUUUCCGCUGCUCUUGCCAUUAUCCAUGCCGCCAUGUAUGGCGGCUAGAUCUGAAUCUGGUGACGGAACAAUAGCGUUUGGACUGGCGGAGUUGGUGGUGGCGUUUGAGCUGCCGACGCGAUGAAAUUCUAUCUGGUGGGGGUGCGGCGACAUUACGACUAGUGGCGUUGCGGCGGUGGUGCAACUUCUAUGGGUUUCCAAAUUUUCCUUAUUUUAGUACUUUUUCUAUAUCUCCUUCUUCUUUCUUGUCUUGUUGGUUCUUCUACUUCUUCCUCCUCCUCCGGCGGCGGUGGUGGCGGUGAAGAUGGCGGUGCAGAGAAUAAUAUGUAUUCAAUCCCUAAUCAUCUUAUGGGUUUUUAAGGUGAUGAUGUUGAAGUAACAAGUGUGAGUAGAUCGGAAGGGCGAGUUUCGAUUAAAAUUACGAGCCAAGAUGGAUCAUGAAAGAGCAAAUCUGAAGCCUUAAAUUGAGCAAAGCAAAGGAGUUGUACUUUUAUAAACACUGGUUGUAUGGUGGUGAUGCAUCAAGUAUUGAAUCUUGGGACAAUGAUGGCAUUCCACCAGAAGAUAAGAUUAAAAGAGCUCAAUUGGAGGGUUUGAGCAGAAGAUUGCAGGACUUUUGUUUGAGACUAUCAAGGCUGUCGACAUGGCUCCAUCGCUUCUUUGAAGUUAUAAAAGCUAUUGAGUAAGAGGCAAAAGAUUUAAACAAUCCUGAUAAUGGGGAUAAAGAUAUAGAGGCAGCUAAAUAAGUCAUUUUUGCAUUACAAAAUAGAACCAAUAUGAAUAAAUUUUUUGUUUUCCA